ensembl:misc_RNA Y_RNA Y RNA
GGCUGGUCUGAUGGCAGUAGGUUAUCAGAAUUUAUUAACAUUAAUAUCACUAAAGUUAAUAUACCAACCCCUCUACUGCUAAAUUUGACUCACUUUUU